GACUUUGUCAAAGUCAAAUUAUAGGUGAAAGUCCUUUAUGUCUCU
rnacentral:tRNA from 1 species